AAAACGGCUCUUUUGAGAGCCACCAAUUAAUAUCAAGAGAGUUAUUU
rfam:Aedes aegypti strain Liverpool supercont1.1819 genomic scaffold, whole genome shotgun sequence.